rnacentral:rRNA from 1 species
UACGAGUGCCCCGAGCGUUAUCCGGAAUCAUUGGGCGUAAAGGGUGUGUAGGUGGCAGUGUUAGUCGCUUGUUAAAACCCGGGGCUUAACCCCGGAUGUGCGAGCGAAACGGCACAGCUAGAGGAUGCGAGGGAUCUGUGGAACUCAUGGAGUAGGGGUGAAAUCCGUUGAUAUCAUGGGGAACACCAAAAGCGAAGGCAGCAGAUUGGCGCAUUCCUGACACUGAGACACGAAAGCGUGGGUAGCGAAUGGG